rnacentral:rRNA from 1 species
CAUGGCUCAGGAUGAACGCUGGCGGCGUGCUUAACACAUGCAAGUCGAACGAGAAAUGAUAUUACGAUCUCUUCGGAGUGACGGUUUUAUUUCGAGUGGCGGACGGGUGAGUAACGCGUGAGCAACCUGCCCUAUACCGGGGGAUACCAGUUGGAAACGACUGUUAAUACCGCAUAAGCGCACGAUAAGACAUCUUGUUGUGUGAAAAACUCCGGUGGUAUAGGAUGGGCUCGCGUAUGAUUAGCCAGUUGGCGGGGUAAAGGCCCACCAAAGCGACGAUCAUUAGCCGACCUGAGAGGGCGACCGGCCACAUUGGGACUGAGACACGGCCCAAACUCCUACGG